rnacentral:lncRNA from 1 species
CUCCCCUGUAACCUUUUCAACAUAGGGUCUCCACUCCCUAGUUGAUGAUUUUUGGACAUAGGGUAUCCACUCCCUAAUCUCUUUUCCAACAUAGGGUCUCCACUCCUUAUUUGAUGUUAUUUUAGACACUAGGUUUCCACUCCCUAGUCUCUUUUUCAAAAUAGGGUCUCCACUCCCUAGUUGAUGUUAUUUUAGACAUAGGGUCUCCACUCCCUAAUAUCUUUUCAAACAUAGGGUCUCUACUCCCUAGUCUCUUUUCCAACAUAGGGUCUUCACUCCCUAGUUGAUUAGACAUAGGGUCUCCAUUCCCUAGUCACCCUUUCCAACAUAGGGUGUCCACUCUCUAGUUAAUUUUAUUUUAGACAUAGGGUCUCCACUCCCUCGUCUCCUUUCUAACAUAGGAUCUCCACUCUCUAGUUGAAUUUAUUUUAGACAUAGGGUCUCCACUCCCUAGUUGAUGUUUUAGACAUAGGGUCUCCACUCCCUAGUCUCUUUUCCAACAUAAGGUCUCCACUCCCUAGUUGAUGUUAUUUUAUACAUAGGGUCUCCGCUCCCUAGUUGAUGUUAUUUUAGAUAUAGGAUAUCCACUCCUUAGUCUUCUUUUUCAACAUAGGAUCUCCACUCCCUAGAUGAUUUUAUUUCAGAUAUAGGGUCUC